rnacentral:rRNA from 1 species
AAGAUUGAAAGCUGGCGUCUUCGGCGUCCGCAUUGUAAUCUCAAGAAGUGUUUUCCGCUUCGGACCAUGCCUAAGUCCCUUGGAAAAGGGCAUCAUAGAGGGUGAUAAUCCCGUACAUGGCAUGGAGCGCCCGAAGCUUUGUGAUACGCUUUCUAAGAGUCGAGUUGUUUGGGAAUGCAGCUCAAAAUGGGUGGUAAAUGCCAUCUAAGGCUAAAUAUUGGGGAGAGACCGAUAGCGAACAAGUACAGUGAUGGAAAGAUGAAAAGAACUUUGAAAAGAGAGUUAAACAGUACGUGAAAUUGCCAAAAGGGAAGGGUAGGAGGUCAGAGAUGCGGCCUGGGAUUCAGCCUUGCUUUUGCUUGGUGUUUUUCCCAGAUUGCAGGCCAACGUCGGUUUUGGGCACUGGAGAAGGGUAGGAGGAACGUGGCACCUCUCGGGGUGUGUUAUAGCCUCCUACUGGAUACAGCGACCGAGACCGAGGACAGCAGCGUACUCGCAAGAGCGGGCCUUCGGGCACCUUUACGCUUAGGGCGUUGGCAUAAUGGCCCUCUACCACCCGUCU